rnacentral:sRNA from 1 species
GCUGGGAUUUGAACUCAGGACCUCUGGAAGAGCAGUCGGUGCUCUUAACCACUGAACCAUCUCUCCAGCCCGAGAUUUUAUCUUUCUACGUCAGUCUGUAACAACUAGCGCUCAGCAUAUAAGCUACCAAGUGUUGACCAUCUGGGCCACCUCUCACAUGAUCACUGUCAACUUUCAUCUGUUGGGGCCAGCAGCUCUUCAGUCUGCCUUCUGGGAUCCAGAACUCUUCUUGGGACAUCGAAGGUUAGACUAUGGAUCUUACAUCUUCAAUCUGGUUAGUCUGGAACUCACCUAGAGACCAGGUUGGACCCAGAAGUGCUGGAAUCAAAGGCGGACAGCACCACACCAGCCUCUCUUUAGCUUUUACCAGCACCAACCUACUCAGAUGGCUUCCUUUUCUUCCAAUCUCUGCCUUAAUGGGACAUUUCCUUCCCUAGGGAACUUCCCCCAGCUCAUGCUUACACCACACCCUCCCCUGGAUCCUGCCUCAGGCAACUGAACAAAUGGGAAGGUGGUGACUGGGUGACAGGGCCUCCAGUGGCCUCCAGUGGGGAGAUGUAAAGGGCUACAGUGUCCUAUUGCAGGAGCAUCCCGGCAGUUUCCUCUCUGUGCUCUGCCAAAUGGUUUCUCUGACUGAAGCAGAUCCUCAGGGUUUGUGGGAAUCAUCUCAGAAGAACCGGAGAAUCAGCAGGAGGCAAAGAAGACUGUUAUCUUAGGGCUGCCCUCAGUCACUUUGGACUACCAUCCCGGCCUCCAGGACACAGUCCCUGACCUCCAUUACAUAGGAGUGGCCGAGACUCAACCCUGAUAGGUUAUUUUUCCACAGGUGAAAUAAACCAAUUCAAGUCACGUUAGACUAUAUUAAAGGCAGGUCUAUUGGGAAACUACUCACUGCCCCAAGGACUGAGCCACAGAAGUUGCCUUGGGGAUGGGGGAAGAAAAAGAAAAAGGGCCCCGCUUGCAGAGGGGGGUGGGGUGGGGGUGGGGUUGAGCCCACCAGAGCA